rnacentral:tRNA from 1 species
CGUGGCCUAGUGGUAAGCAAACCGGGCUGAUAACCUGGGGGGUCGUAGGUUCAAGCCCGG